GAUGAACGCUGGCGGCGUGCCUAAUACAUGCAAGUCGAGCGAACGGACGAGAAGCUUGCUUCUCUGAUGUUAGCGGCGGACGGGUGAGUAACACGUGGAUAACCUACCUAUAAGACUGGGAUAACUUCGGGAAACCGGAGCUAAUACCGGAUAAUAUUUUGAACCGCAUGGUUCAAAAGUGAAAGACGGUCUUGCUGUCACUUAUAGAUGGAUCCGCGCUGCAUUAGCUAGUUGGUAAGGUAACGGCUUACCAAGGCAACGAUGCAUAGCCGACGUGAGAGGGUGAUCGGCCACACGGGAACUGAGACACGGUCCAGACUCCUACGGGAGGCAGCAGUAGGGAAUCUUCCGCAAUGGGCGAAAGCCUGACGGAGCAACGCCGCGUGAGUGAUGAAGGUCUUCGGAUCGUAAAACUCUGUUAUUAGGGAAGAACAUCUGUGUAAGUAACUGUGCACAUCUUGACGGUACCUAAUCAGAAAGCCACGGCUAACUACGUG
rnacentral:rRNA from 1 species